AGAGGCAUGAAACAUCCCCCGACAUUGGUCCAAAAAUUUUACCAAACUCAACAUAGAGCAAGCAACAUAUGUAGAAGGUUUAAUCAUGGACAAAUAUUUGGCCAUGGUAGGAAUAAAGGUUGAUGAUUCAAGAAACUUGCUAUUGAAUUUUGCUUUUUAUAAAAGAAAACCCAAGUACUUUGCAAGAACCAGCAAGCAUCAUGUCAUCCUACCCUAUCACAUACGUCAAUUACUUCGAUAAAAUGGGGUCCCUAUAACAAGUGUUCAUAAAUCUCUAGGGAUAUU
rnacentral:lncRNA from 1 species